CGCGGCCCCGCGCCCCUGCCUCUUCUCGCGAGGGCAGACCACCCGGUCACGUGCGAUGCCGUCGGGCUCGGACGCCAGCCGCCCAGCGCCUGCGCGGUGCCGUCGGAGGUAGACUGGCGGGUGUUUGCUCAAUUUAUCGAUUGGUUUAAAGUAAAACAAGAGGAAAUCAGAAGUGAAGAUGUAUGGAAUGGAUGAAUCAAAAGCAAAACAAGCAGCUGAAAAAUUGUCAAAGGAAACUAUUGGGGAAUUAAGGAAGUACCAAUGUGGAUUGACCAGUCAGGAGAACCAAUUGAAGAAUAAAAGUGAAUCACUCAAAAUGGCUUUUGGAAAAGACAAUUGAAUAAUUUCAUUAUAACAAAAAUAAUGGCCCCAAAAGAGAAAGAUUUUAACUGAAUUUUCAAUUGAAAUAAGAAUGAAGUGGUUUGUUGAUGUGGGCAACAGCCAAUCAGAAGCUUUUAAUAACAUAAAUUUAUCUUGUAGUUGAUUUUAAAUCACUUCAGAAAUCUUUUGGAAAAUGCAAAAGAAACUCAUAAAUCCUACAGGAUCAUCCAUUAUUUUUACUCAGAGCCCUACUGCUGCAUGCUAGGAAACUACAGUGCCCAGAAUUUACAAAUCUGAGGUUGGCAAAAUCUUUUGAAAUUUAGAAUAAAUAGGUGUGCUUGAAAUGUCUCUUCACAUGUUCUGGUGGAAUUAAGCCCAGGCUUUUGUGACAGGUUAAGUCUUUAAAGUGUUGACAUUUUAACAUUGGAAUUCCUAUAGCAUAUGAGCUACCUAAAACAUAUAGUAUUUUAAUGAAAUUUUAGACCAAUGUUCCCCCAUUUCCUCCAUUAGCAUUACCAGAAAAUGAUGCAGCAGUAAAAUAUUAACAAUGAUAUAUAUGAGCAAACGUCCAGAUGUCAUGCUUCGUUACAAAUGCAAAACAACCUCAACAUUUUGGGUGCUCCAUAAUUGCAACCUCAAUCAGACAUACACAUUUCACUCUAUGAAGCUCCCUAAUGAAACAAUAAUUAAAUUCUGAGUCAAUUCAAGCUGUAUUUUUUGAUAACAAUUACUCCUAGUGCCCUUAAAGGGGCAAACCUCCACUUUACCUGCAGAAUAAUGCAUGGCACAUUACAUAGUAUAAUACUUCUGUCCUUAUAGAACAAUGAAUUAUUUGAUUUCCUGUGGGCAAUAUGUUGGGAGAUUUACUACUACCAUCCCCACCAUUUUUAAUGGGCACAUUUUUAAUGUUCAUUUGAUUUUACAUAAUACAAUAACAAUGGUACAUUUAGAAUACAUUUCCUAUCCUUGAGACUUGCUAUGCCACAUGUUUGAAAAAUAAAACUGUAAAGGAACAGCAAGUGAUUGAGUACAUAGAGCAUACAAAGUUCACAAGCACUAUAAAUGACCCUAAUAGACCAGAAUGCCUGAUACGCAUGAAAACUUUACCCUAAUCUAUGUUUUAAGAAAGAAAGCCAAAAUUUCGAAAUGUCGUAAUUAAAUUCAGAUCCCAGUAAUUAGACUAUGUGGCCUUAAAAGGGAAUGGUGCCACAUUUGCAGUAGAAUAAUAUAUUGUGUGUUAUGUUGUGAAGCCUUGCUUUAUAUCAAUAAAAUGAUUUAUGAAA